rnacentral:lncRNA from 1 species
GCGGUGGACGGCUCGCCCUCGUUGAAGGAGGCGACGCCGUACAUGGUGAGGCAGACGCUGAGGAUGGAGACGAGUCCGAUGGCGCCGAGUGUGCCGGCCUGUCCGUGCACGGGCGUGUUGCGGAGCGGGCCAGUGAGCGCGAAGGGGCCGACGAGGAGGUAGCCAUGGGCGAGGCCGACCUCGAUGCCGCGGAGGAGCGGGCUGACGGCGGUGCGGUAGGCGGGGAGGUUGGAGAGGUACCACGCGACGAGGGGGCUGGAGGUGACCGGCGUCUCCAGGCUGCCGAUGAACGGGUCGCCGUUGAUGGGCUGGACCACUUGGUACGUCGGCUGAGAGGAAACACCAAAACAUGUAUGAGAUGCAAAGCAAGGCCUACAACAAGCUAAACCCUACUUGUAUCCCACAAAUUGUGGUUUGUUUUGGAUGAAUAAAUCUCUGUUCGUCCUAAAAAACAACACGCUAAACCUUAAUUUUAGCUCUCUCUUGCAUGCAAUUGCAAGUUUGCGACUGACCUUGUCAGACUUGACAGCCUUGACGACGAAGCGGGGCCUCCGGGUGAGCGAAGCGCCGGACAUGCCCCGCGGCUUGGAGCACGCCAAGCCGCUCUUCAUCACCUGGCUCGCCAUGGGAGGAGCAUAUGCAGUGGCCAUCUCGAUGUCCUCCUUCGACUCCCACACGCUCAACUCUGCUCUGCCUGCAGCGUCAAAUGGAUGGAUGUGUUACAAGAAGAAGAUCUGUCCAGAUGGCAAGAUGUUUUAGUGGCUCCAAGGGAGAGGGGAGAAUCUGGGUCCUGUUGGGCGGGACCCUGCAUACGAGAUAUGGUCCGGAGCUGUGUGGCUUCCAUUGGCUGCAAUCCUAUCCCUUAUCCGAAUUUCCGGAUUCUGUCUGCGUGUCACUCUGUGUGUGGUCUCUAUUCGUCUAUGGCUGCACCCAGACCAGAUUUUUCAUCUUAUUGUGCUGAUAUAGUCAUACACUUAAUACACAACAUAAGAUUAUAAGUGUUAUAUAUAUGUCAUCUAUCAGUUUGCAGUACAAAAUCUAAAUACUCAUCGAAAAUUCUUAUUUUUAGAUUUUUUAGUGCGGAUUGAUAUGAGACAUAUACUCCCUCCGUUCCUAAAUAUAAGAUUUUUUAAAGAUUGUACUAUAAACUACAAACGGAUGUACAUAGACAUAUUUUAAAGUAUAGAUUCACUCAUUUUGUUCCGUAUGUAGUCUCCUAAUGAAAUCCCUAAAAGGUCUUAUAUUUUGGAACGGAGGGAGUAUAAAAUAAAAUAUGUAAAGCACAAAAACAUGUGGCACCUGUUUUAAAAGCAGGUAAAAUAAAAGUAUGCAGGUAAAAAAAGCAUAAAAGUAUGAAGGUCUUAUAAUACAAAGUACUUUCUCUGUCCAGAAAUACUUGCCAUAAAAAUAAAUUUUUUAGAUGUAUUUUAGUUUUAUGUACAUACAUUUCUAUCAAUUUGUACAACAAUUAAUUUCGGACGGGGGAGUAUUAUGCUAUACUGUGGAGUUCGAAUGGAU